rnacentral:rRNA from 1 species
GACGAACGCUGGCGGCGUGCCUAAUACAUGCAAGUCGAACGAGAGCAACCGGUGCUUGCACUGGUCAAUCUAGUGGCGAACGGGUGAGUAACACGUGGGUAACCUGCCCAUCAGAGGGGGAUAACAUCCGGAAACGGAUGCUAAAACCGCAUAGGUCUUCGAACCGCAUGGUUUGAAGAGGAAAAGAGGCGCAAGCUUCUGCUGAUGGAUGGACCCGCGGUGCAUUAGAUAGUUGGUGAGGUAACGGCUCACCAAGGCCGUGAUGCAUAGCCGACCUGAGAGGGUGAUCGGCCACAUUGGGACUGAGACACGGCCCAAACUCCUACGGGAGGCAGCAGUAGGGAAUCUUCCGCAAUGGACGCAAGUCUGACGGAGCAACGCCGCGUGAGUGAAGAAGGUUUUCGGAUCGUAAAACUCUGUUGUUAGAGAAGAACAAGUGCUAGAGUAACUGUUAGCGCCUUGACGGUAGCUAACCAGAAAGCCACGGCUAACUACGUG